GGUGCUGUUGUGUAGCGGUUAUCACGUUUGCCUUGCACGCAAAAGGUCUUCAGUUCGAUCCUGGACAGCAUCA